rnacentral:rRNA from 1 species
UACGGGGGGAGCAAGCGUUGUUCGGAUUUACUGGGCGUAAAGCGUGCGUAGGUGGUUUGUUAAGUCUGUUGUGAAAGCCCCGGGCUCAACCUGGGAAUGGCAAUGGAUACUGGCAAGCUAGAGUGCGGUAGAGGGUAGUGGAAUUCCCGGUGUAGCGGUGAAAUGCGUAGAGAUCGGGAGGAACACCAGUGGCGAAGGCGGCUACCUGGACCAGCACUGACACUGAGGCACGAAAGCGUGGGGAGCAAACAGG